rnacentral:misc_RNA from 1 species
CGCACAUUGCGCCCCUCGGUAGCCCGGGGGGCAUGCCUGUCCGAGCGUCAUUUCAGACCAUCAAGCCCCGCUUGGUUUUGGGCUUCGCCCCUGCUGCGGGCGGGCCCUAAAUCGGUCGGCGGCCGCCCCUAAGCCCCGGAGCGCAGUAGGACUGCACACGCUCUUUAGGGCCUUGGAGGCGCGCCCCGCCCCUAAUGACGGCUUUCGCAACCUCAAGGUUGACCUCGGAUCAGGUAGGGAUACCCGCUGAACUUAA